CAAACACAACAGCAACAGCAGCCUGUAAUGGGAGUGGUAGCUGGUGCAGGUCAGAUGUCCUAUACUACUAACCCCUACCAAACUGCUGCAAUGAUGGCUUCAGGAACACCUGCUAUAGCUGUGCCUUCUCCUACUCAGCCACCAACCACUUUCUCCAACUCCCCUCAUCAGCUUACCUACCAACAGGCCCAGCACUUCCACCAUCAACAGCAGCAGCAGCAGCUUCAAAUGUUCUGGGCCAACCAAAUGCAAGAAAUUGAGCAGAUAACUGACUUCAAGAAUCACAGCCUCCCACUUGCUCGGAUUAAAAAAAUAAUGAAAGCUGAUGAAGAUGUCCGAAUGAUUUCAGCUGAGGCCCCCGUUAUAUUUGCUAAAGCAUGUGAAAUGUUCAUCUUGGAGCUGACCCUGCGCUCCUGGAUUCACACAGAAGAGAACAAGCGGAGGACAUUACAAAAGAAUGACAUUGCAGCAGCAAUAUCAAGGACUGACGUUUUUGAUUUCUUGGUUGAUAUUAUUCCCAGAGAUGAAUUAAAAGAGGAGGGAUUAGGGGUCACUAAGGCUACUAUUCCUAUGGUUGGUUCUCCUGCUGAAAUUCCGUAUUACUAUGUCCCACCACAGCCUCCUGUGGGACCUCCAGGGAUGAUUAUGGGAAAACCAGUUGAUCAAGCAGCAGCCUUUGGAGCCCAGCAGCUUCGACCACCCGUGGCAUUCAUGCCGUGGCCACAGACUCAACCACCACCACCACCACAACAAGAAGCUCAACAGCAGCAAAGUGAUACUUGAUGAAAUUCCGGAUAAUGUGCA
rnacentral:lncRNA from 1 species